rnacentral:lncRNA from 1 species
AAACUAUUAGCCAGCAAUACAAAUAAAAAAGCAACGCAAGAUAAAGAAUAAAAUCAGAGAAUAUAUUAUAGAGUGAUUUUAUUCAUUCCAAUUGUGUGUGUACAAAACAAAAAGAUGAGUUCUCCUUUUAUAGUUACACAAUCACUCCAUGAAAUUAAUGAAAAAUUAUGGAUCAUAAUUCCUUGUGAGAUAGUGGGAGUUAUAAGAAAGCUAAAUGUUGCUAAUAAGAGAUAGUGGGGAGACUAAGAGAUAUAUGUUAUGAACAUCUACAUUUAUUUUAAUAAAUUCAUAACACUCCCCCUUGAAUGUUCAUUACAAAGAAUAUGCCUCAUUAAAAUAUUUACAUAAUUGUUAUUGUGUAAUAAUAAUCAACUUAAUUACGAGAAGAUGACAAGCCAAAUCUAAAAGAAAAUUUCUCUAUUUAUUAGAUAAUAGAGAAUAUACAAAGAUGAGAAAUGGUGAUGCCACAUUACCUUCCCAAGUCUUAGCUUUAUAUAUAUACUAGAAAAUAAAACCAUAUUUCACGCGGCUUUGAAAAAAGAAUUUAGUAUUAUUCUCUUUUUUUUACUUUAUACUUGAUGAAACUGAUAAAAAAUAUGAAUUGAUUUUUUUUAAAAUGAGGCAGCCUUAUAAAAAACAAAAAAAAGCCAUUAGCCAGCAAUACAAAUAAAGAAGUAACAUAAGAUAAAGAAUAAAAUGAGAGAAUAUAUUAUAGAGUGAUUUUAUUCAUUCCAAAUGUGUGUUGAUAGAAGAAAAAGAUAAGCUCUUCUUUUAUAGUUACAUAAUCACUCCAUGAAAUUAAUAAAAAAUUAUGGAUCAUAAUUCCUUGUGAGAUAGUGGGAGUUAUAGGGAAGCUAAAGGUUGCUAAUGGGAGAUAGUGGGGAGACUAAG